GACGAACGCUGGCGGCGUGCUUAACACAUGCAAGUCGAACGGGAUCCAAAGGCUUUUUGUUUUUGGUGAGAGUGGCGAACGGGUGAGUAACACGUGAGUAACCUGCCCCCUUCUUUUGGAUAACCGCAUGAAAGUGUGGCUAAUACAGGAUAUUCCAGGCUGGUCGCAUGAUUGGUUUGGGAAAUGGUUUGGUCUGGUGGGGGAUGGGCUCGCGGCCUAUCAGCUUGUUGGUGGGGUGAUGGCCUACCAAGGCGGUGACGGGUAGCCGGCCUGAGAGGGUGGGCGGGCACACUGGGACUGAGAUACGGCCCAGACUCCGACGGGAGGCAGCAGUGGGGGAUUUUGCACAAUGGGCGCAAGCCUGAUGCAGCGACGCCGCGUGAGGGAUGAAGGCCUUCGGGUUGUAAACCUCUUUCGCUGGGUUGAAAGGCCAUGCUUUGGGUGUGGUUGAUGUGAACUGGUAAAGAAGUACCGGCUAACUACGUG
rnacentral:rRNA from 1 species